GACGAACGCUGGCGGCGUGCCUAAUACAUGCAAGUAGAACGCAGUUGCGAACGGUAGAGUAACGCGUAGGUAACUGCCUGGUAGCGGGGGAUAACUAUUGGAAACGAUAGCUACUACCGCAUACUACCAGAUGGACCUGCGUUGUAUUAGCUAGUUGGUGGGGUAACGGCUCACCAAGGCAACGAUACAUAGCCGACCUGGGAGGGGGAUCCGCCACACUGGGACUGGGACACUGGCCAGACUCCUUCGGGAGGCAGCAGUAGGGAAUCAUCGGCAAUGGGGGGAACCCUGACCUAGCAACGCCGCGUGAGUGAAGGAGGUUUUCGGAUCGUAAAGCUCUGUUGUUAAGGAAGCGGUACUUAACCAGAAAGGGACGGCUAACUACGUGCCAGCAGCCGCGGUAAUAC
rnacentral:rRNA from 1 species